ACUUGGCACAGUUCAGAAAAUCUGACAGCAUUACAAUACAUCCGGGAAAAUGCAAAAUGAACCAUAAACAAAUUGCAGUGGUGUUCAUUAACAUCGCCAAUGCAAUGUUCCUAAUUUCACCAAGGACUCAUAUGUCAUCAACAACUGUGAUGACUGUUCCAUAAACAACAACAAACUCCAUAUGAUGACCCCAAGCAAAUCCGAAUAAUACCUGGGUCUAAGCAACCAGAAGCUAUAAAUCUGCUACAAACAUGGAUCCUUAAAAUCGACAAAGCCCAACUAAAACCCUCACAGAAGGAAACAAUCCUAAAUGUCUAUCAACAAUCCCCAGACUGUUCUACCAAAUGGAUCAUGCCUACACUAAUCAAGUAACACUAAAAAGUAUUAACGGACUCAUAUGGAAAGCGAUAAAAAAUUGGCUACAUCUCCCUGAGUCUACAUACAGUGGAGUUGGGGGAUUGGGCCUAUCUAGCCUGAUACCAUCAAUCCAAAUCUGAAGACUACAGCGCAUGCCAAUGUCUACAGACUCAAUCAUCAGCAGUCUAAUGCAAUCAAACGAAGUGCAAGAAAAAUUCCACAAACUCUGGAUCCAGGCUGGAGGUGAUGAAAGCAAAAUCCCACAGCUAGCCGACCCAACAACCCUAACAAUCCCAACAGAAGAAAUACUGCUACCAGAGGGAUGGGAGACCAGCCCCAAACAAAAGGAAAAAUUUAAAACUCCCUGCAAUUGGUGGAAAGAAGAAUUUGAAAAUUAUCUAUCUGUUCAAGGAAUGGGAAUCGGCAACUUCAAAGAUCAUCCAGACAGCAAUUCCUGGCUUACACACCAUAAAGGCUUCAGAGAAAAACAAUUUAUUGCAGCCCUACAGCUAUGGGCCAAUGUAUACCCCACCCAAGAGUGCCUAAACAGAGGUCAAAGGGGAUUCCCAACACUCUGCGUAAAUGCCAAGAAAAAACUGAAACCUGUUCCCACAUACUCGGACAAUGCCCCAGCAUACAAAACGCAAGAAUAAAGAGCAAACAACAAAAUCUGUGACAUCUUAGCCGCAGAAGCUAAGAAACAAAACUGGGAGCCACAUAUCAGGCUUUCAGAGUCCAAUGAACUGAGAAAGCCUGACCUCAUCUUCACCAAGAACAAAGAGACAAUAGUGAUUGACGUAACAAUCAGAUACGAACAGAACCUGCACAUGCUAGGAAAAGCAGCCACAGAGAAGGAAAUCUACUAUCAACCCCUGGAAGAGCAAAUAAAAGAGUUGGCAGAAGCUGAGAAAGUCACAUUCUGCAGUUUUACAGUUGGAGCAAGAGGGAAAUGGUUUGCAAAAAACUACUUCCUACAGAGACUGGAAAUUGGAGAAAAAAAACAGAAACACCUGGCAAAACUCUUCGUAAGAGCCCUCCUAUACUCCCUUGACAUCCUUACAAUGAUCGGCAGAAAAAAAUGCAGUUAUUAAUACGAGUUAUUAAUGUAUGUAAAUGUAUGUAAUUGUUAAACUUCAAAAACGUAAACCUCACAGCUGAAUAAAAUCACAGCUAUAACUUCUUUACCUUGCUAACAGCCAGCUAGGUCCCGCCGCAUAUAGCCCUACACAAGCCGGGACUGAAAAAGACUGGAUGACACUUAAACUAGACAACCCGUCACUGACUUUAGGAUCUUGUAAUGAUUACUAUCAGCAUGGGAAGACUCAAAGCUUCAAUGGUGGAUUAUGUCAUCUCCCAAAUGUUGUCAUGCAGGCGUCAUUUGGAUGACAAUGACAAAAAACAGUUAAUCUGGUGAAUAAAAUAUCCAAAUGCCUGAUCAUCUAAUAAGUGACGUGCAUGAAUGGAUUAACGAGAUUCCCACUGUCCCUACCUACUAUCUAGUGAAACCACAGCCAAGGGAAUGGGCUUGGCGGAAUCAGCAUUGAAAGAAGACUCUGUUGAGUUUGACUCUAGUCUGGCACUGUGAAGAGUCCUGAGAGGCGUAGAAUAAGUGGGAGGCCCCCCUCCCGGGGGCGCCAUGGGUGAAAUACCACUACUUUUAUCGUUUCCUCACUUACAAGGUGAGGCGGGAGGGCGAGUCCCACACAGGAUCUUGUUUCUGGCACCGGCUGGACACGACCCGCUCCGGGGACAGUGGCAGGUGGGGAGUUUGACUGGGGUGGUAUACCUGUCAAACGGUAAUGAAGGCAUUCUAAGGUGAGCUCAGGGAGGACAGAAAUCUCCCAUGGAGCACAAGGGCAAAAGCUCGCUUGAUCUUGAUUUUCAGUAUGAAUACAGACCGCGAAAGUGGAGCCUCACAAUCCUUCUGACAUUUGGGAUUUUAAGAAAGAGGUGUCAGGAAAGUUACCACAGGGAUAACUGGCUUGUGGCGGCCAAGCAUUCAUAGCUACGUCACUUUUUAAUCCUUCGAUGUCAGCUCUUCCUAUCAUUGAGAAGAAGAAUUCACCAAGCGUUAAAUUGUUCACCCACUAAUAGGGAACAUGAGCUGGGUUUAGACAAUCGUGAGACAGGUUAGUUUUACCAAACUGAUGAUGUGUUGUGUAGUAAUCCUGGUUAGUACGAGAUAAAUCAUUCGCAGACGACCUAAUUCUGGGUCAGGGUGUUGUACGUAGCAGAGCAGCCACCUCGCUAUUUUCUAUUGAAAGUCAGCCCUCAAUCCAAGCUUUUGU
rnacentral:rRNA from 1 species